GACGAACGCUGGCGGCGUGCUUAACACAUGCAAGUCGAACGGAAAGGCCCUGCUUUUGUGGGGUUCUCGAGUGGCGAACGGGUGAGUAACACGUGAGUAACCUGCCCUUGACUUUGGGAUAACUUCAGGAAACUGGGGCUAAUACCGGAUAGGAUCUCCUGCUCCAUGGUGGGGGUUGGAAAGUUUCGGCGUUUGGGGAUGGACUCGCGGCUUAUCAGCUUGUUGGUGGGGUAGUGGCUUACCAAGGCUUUGACGGGUAGCCGGCCUGAGAGGGUGACCGGCCACAUUGGGACUGAGAGACGGCCCAGAAUCCUACGGGAGGCAGCAGUGGGGAAUAUUGCAAAAUGGGCGGAAGCCUGAUGCAGAAACGCCGCGUGCGGGAUGACGGCCUUCGGGUUGUAAACCGCUUUCGCCUGUGACGAAGAGUGAGUGACGGUAAUGGGUAAAGAAGCACCGGCUAACUACGUG
rnacentral:rRNA from 1 species